rnacentral:lncRNA from 1 species
AGGAUGUUUAUGAUUGAUUUUAUUUCAGUAUUAUGCAAGAUUUUUCAGAUUUGAAAUUCUUUGAAAUAUGCUCGCACAAUGUUGCCCAGCUAUGGAACCCAUGAGGGAGGCUGAAUUGGGUUUUUUUAAAAUUUAAACUUAGCUUACAACUCUGGAAAUUUUUUAAUAAUGAGCAAGAUAAGUAGAGAGUGUAAUUUAUGCAAGGUGUGG